CGUGUAGGCGGCUUUGCAAGUCUGAUGUGAAAGCCCCCGGCUUAACCGGGGAAGUGCAUCGGAUACUGCAUUGCUUGAGUCCGGAAGAGGGUGGUGGAAUUCCCGGUGGAACGGUGAAAUGUGUAGAUAUCGGGAGGAACACCUGUGGCGAAGGCGACCACCUGGUCCGGUACUGACGCUGAAAUGCGAAAGCGUGGGUAGCAAACA
rnacentral:rRNA from 1 species